ACUCCUACGGGAGGCAGCAGUGGGGAAGUAUUGACAAUGGCGGCAAGCCGAUCCAGCCAUGCCGCGUGUGUGAAGAAGGCCUUCGGGUUGUAAAGCACUUUCAGCGAGGAGGAAAGGUUAAGUGUUAAUAGCACUUAGCUGUGACGUUACUCGCAGAAGAAGCACCGGCUAACUCCGUGCCAGCAGCCGCGGUAAUACGGAGGGUGCAAGCGUUAAUCGGAAUUACUGGGCGUAAAGCGCGCGUAGGUUGUUUGUUAAGCGAGAUGUGAAAGCCCGC
rnacentral:rRNA from 1 species